UACGAGGGGGGCAAGCGUUGUUCGGAAUUACUGGGCGUAAAGCGUGCGCAGGCGGUUUGUUAAGUCCGUUGUGAAAGCCCCGAGCUCAACUUGGGAAUUGCAGUGGAUACUGGCAGGCUGGAGUACGGUAGGGGAAGGUGGAAUUCCCGGUGUAGCAGUGAAAUGCGUAGAUAUCGGGAGGAACACCAGUGGCGAAGGCGGCCUUCUGGACCAGUACUGACGCUCAUGCACGAAAGCGUGGGGAGCGAACCGG
rnacentral:rRNA from 1 species